GUUUGAAACUUCAUCCAUUCUACCACAGGGUGGGCUUGAGUAAAUGUUUUUGAAAUAUGACUGAAUUUCCUCCCUGAUUUCUGGUUCAGUUUCUACCCAAACCCCAUUUGCCUUCUAGAGCUUCAUUAUUGAAUUCCUCUAUCUGCACUAAAUGGUUGUGAGAUGAUAGAACCAAGUGUUUCUGUCCCCUGAAGUUAGCCAAUUAAUGUGAGAUCGCUGCCUCCAG
rnacentral:misc_RNA from 1 species